GACGAACGCUGGCGGCGUGCUUAACACAUGCAAGUCGAACGGAAAGUCCCUGCUUUUUUGGGCUGCUCUAGUGGCGAACGGGUGAGUAACCCGUGAGUUACCUACCCUUGACUUUGGGAUAACUUCAUGAAACUUGGGCUCAUCCCGGAUAGGAUCUCCUGCUUCAUGGUGGGGGUUGGAUAGUUUCGGCGGUUGGGGAUGGACUCGCGGCUUAUCAGCUUGUUGGUGGGGUAGUCGCUUACCAAGGAUUUGACGGGUAGCCGGCCUGCGAGGGAGACCGGCCACAUAGGGAGUGAGAGAGGGACGAGACAGAUACGGGAGGGAGGAGGGGGGAAGAAAGAACGAAGGGCGGAAGCAUGAUGCAGCAACGCAGGGUGCGGGAGGACGGCAUGCGGGUUGGAAACCGCUUUCGCUUGUGACGAAGCGUGAGGAAAGGAAAGGGGUAAAGAAGCACGGGCUAACUACGU
rnacentral:rRNA from 1 species